ensembl:snoRNA LOC120099454 small nucleolar RNA SNORA44
AAAUAAGUUUUCAUAGCCAUGGGAUCUCCAACUGCAUGCCAGAGUAACGGAGAGACUUUGACAGCCCAGGUUAUCACAGUGCCUGCUGUUGCCACUCAGCUCUCCUAUAUGU